CACGUAGGGGACGAGCGUUGUCCGGAAUUACUGGGCGUAAAGGGCGCGCAGGCUGUGCGUCGAGUCGGCUGUUGAAAGGCGGGGCUCAACCCCGCGAAGCGGUCGAGACCGGCGUGCUGGAGUACUGCAGAGGCAGGCGGAAUUCCCGGUGUAGCGGUGAAAUGCGUAGAUAUCGGGAAGAACACCGGUGGCGAAGGCGGCCUGCUGGGCAGUAACUGACGCUGAGGCGCGAGAGCCAGGGUAGCGAACGGGAUUAGAAACCCUAGUAGUCC
rnacentral:rRNA from 1 species